rnacentral:rRNA from 1 species
CCUACGGGUGGCUGCAGUGAGGAAUAUUGGUCAAUGGGCGAGAGCCUGAACCAGCCAAGUCGCGUGAGGGAGUACUGCCCUAUGGGUUGUAAACCUCUUUUGUCGGGGAGCAAAAGCCGGACGUGUCCGGCUGUGAGAGUACCCGAAGAAAAAGCAUCGGCUAACUCCGUGCCAGCAGCCGCGGUAAUACGGAGGAUGCGAGCGUUAUCCGGAUUUAUUGGGUUUAAGGGGUGCGCAGGCGGAUUUUUAAGUCAGCGGUCAAAUCGUGGGGCUCAACCCCAUCCAGCCGUGGAAACUGGGGAUCUAGAGUGUGCGAGAGGUAUGCGGAAUGCGUGGUGUAGCGGUGAAAUGCAUAGAUAUCACGCAGAACCCCGAUUGCGAAGGCAGCCUGCCAAGCCAUGACUGACGCUGAUGCACGAAAGCGUGGGGAUCAAACAGGAUUAGAUACCCGAGUAGUC